rnacentral:rRNA from 1 species
UUGACCUCGGAUCAGGUAGGAAUACCCGCUGAACUUAAGCAUAUCAAUAAGA